rnacentral:rRNA from 1 species
UGGGGAAUAUUGGGCAAUGGAGGCAACUCUGACCCAGCAAUGCCGCGUGAGUGAUGAAUGGAUUUUUCUUGUAAAGCUCUUUUCUUUGGAACGAACAAAUGACGGUACCAAAGGAAUAAGCCCCGGCUAACUACGUGCCAGCAGCCGCGGUAAUACGUAGGGGGCAAGCGUUGUUCGGAAUGACUGGGCGUAAAGGGUGUGUAGGUGGUUUGAUAAGUUAGAUGUGUAAUACCCAGGGCUUAACUCGGGUGCUGCAUCUAAAACUGUUAGACUUGAGUACUGGAGAGGAUAGCGGAAUUCCUAGUGUAGCGGUGGAAUGCGUAGAUAUUAGGAGGAACAUCAGUGGCGAAGGCGGCUAUCUGGACAGCAACUGACACUGAGGCACGAAAGCGUGGGGAGCAAACAGG